UACGUAGGGUGCGAGCGUUAAUCGGAAUUACUGGGCGUAAAGCGUGCGCAGGCGGUUCGUUAAGUCAGAUGUGAAAGCCCCGGGCUCAACCUGGGAACUGCAUUUGAAACUGGCUGGCUUGAGUAUGGCAGAGGGGGGUGGAAUUCCGCGUGUAGCAGUGAAAUGCGUAGAGAUGCGGAGGAACACCGAUGGCGAAGGCAGCCCCCUGGGCCAAUACUGACGCUCAGGCACGAAAGCGUGGGGAGCGAACAGG
rnacentral:rRNA from 1 species